AGUGAACGCUGGCGGUAGGCCUAACACAUGCAAGUCGAACGGCAGCACAGUAAGAGCUUGCUCUUACGGGUGGCGAGUGGCGGACGGGUGAGGAAUACAUCGGAAUCUACUUUUUCGUGGGGGAUAACGUAGGGAAACUUACGCUAAUACCGCAUACGACCUACGGGUGAAAGCAGGGGAUCUUCGGACCUUGCGCGAUUGAAUGAGCCGAUGUCGGAUUAGCUAGUUGGCGGGGUCAAGGCCCACCAAGGCGGCGAUCGGUAGCUGGUCUGAGAGGAAGAAUAGGCACAGUGGGAAAGAGGAAAGGCUGCGACUCCGACAGGAAGCAACAGGGGGGAAUAUUGAGGGAUGGGGGCGAGGCUGGUCCAGCCAUACCGCGUGGGUGAAGAAGGCCUUCGGGUUGUAAAGCCCUUUUGUUGGGAAAGAAAAGCAGCAGUUUAAUACCCCGCUGUUAUGACGGUACCCAAAGAAUAAGCACCGGCUAACUUCGUG
rnacentral:rRNA from 1 species